rnacentral:rRNA from 1 species
GAUGAACGCUAGCGGCAGGCUUAACACAUGCAAGUCGAGGGGUAACAGGGGUGCUUGCAUCCGCUGACGACCGGCGCACGGGUGCGUAACGCGUAUAGAACCUACCUUUUACAGGGGGAUAGCCUUUAGAAAUGAAGAUUAACACCCCAUAGUAUUAACAAGAGGCAUCUUUAGUUAAUUAAAAAUUUAUUGGUAAAAGAUGGCUAUGCGUCCUAUUAGUUAGAUGGUAAGGUAACGGCUUACCAUGGCUUCGAUAGGUAGGGGUCCUGAGAGGGAUACCCCCCACACUGGUACUGAGACACGGACCAGACUCCUACGGGAGGCAGCAGUGAGGAAUAUUGGUCAAUGGAGGCAACUCUGAACCAGCCAUGCCGCGUGUAGGAAGACGGCCCUAUGGGUUGUAAACUACUUUUAUACGGGAAGAACUAUGCCUACGUGUAGGCAUUUGACGGUACCGUAAGAAUAAGCACCGGCUAACUCCG